UACGGAGGGUGCGAGCGUUAAUCGGAAUCACUGGGCGUAAAGCGCGCGUAGGCGGCUUUUCAAGUCAGGGGUGAAAUCCCACGGCCCAACCGUGGAACUGCCUUUGAAACUGUAGAGCUUGAGUGUCGGAGAGGGUGGCGGAAUUCCAGGUGUAGGAGUGAAAUCCGUAGAUAUCUGGAGGAACACCGGUGGCGAAGGCGGCCACCUGGACGACAACUGACGCUGAGGGGCGAAAGCGUGGGUAGCAAACAGG
rnacentral:rRNA from 1 species